rnacentral:tRNA from 1 species
GCCUUUGACAACACCGGGUAGGGCGGACUGUUAAUCCGUAUGUCACUGGUUCGAGUCCAGUCAGAGGAGCCA